GUUUUUAUAGUGUAUACUUAACACUUUACAUUUUCAUUGUAAAAAAGAAUAAUUAUUAUUCUAAUAACU
rnacentral:tRNA from 1 species